rnacentral:rRNA from 1 species
GGGUUGUGAGGUUAAGCGACUAAGCGUACACGGUGGAUGCCCUGGCAGUCAGAGGCGAUGAAGGGCGUGCUAAUCUGCGAUAAGCGCCGGUAAGGUGAUAUGAACCGUUAUAACCGGCGAUACCCGAAUGGGGAAACCCAGUGUGACUCGUCACACUAUCAUUAACUGAAUCCAUAGGUUAAUGAGGCGAACCGGGGGAACUGAAACAUCUAAGUACCCCGAGGAAAAGAAAUCAACCGAGAUUCCCCCAGUAGCGGCGAGCGAACGGGGAGGAGCCCAGAGCCUGAAUCAGCAUGUGUGUUAGUGGAAGCGUCUGGAAAGGCGCGCGAUACAGGGUGACAGCCCCGUACACAAAAGCGCAUGUGCUGUGAGCUCGAUGAGUAGGGCGGGACACGUGGUAUCCUGUCUGAAUAUGGGGGGACCAUCCUCCAAGGCUAAAUACUCCUGACUGACCGAUAGUGAACCAGUACCGUGAGGGAAAGGCGAAAAGAACCCCGGCGAGGGGAGUGAAAAAGAACCUGAAACCGUGUACGUACAAGCAGUGGGAGCACCCUUCGGGGUGUGACUGCGUACCUUUUGUAUAAUGGGUCAGCGACUUAUAUUCUGUAGCAAGGUUAACCGAAUAGGGGAGCCGGAGGGAAACCGAGUCUUAAUUGGGCGUUAAGUUGCAGGGUAUAGACCCGAAACCCGGUGAUCUAGCCAUGGGCAGGUUGAAGGUUGGGUAACACUAACUGGAGGACCGAACCGACUAAUGUUGAAAAAUUAGCGGAUGACCUGUGGCUGGGGGUGAAAGGCCAAUCAAACCGGGAGAUAGCUGGUUCUCCCCGAAAGCUAUUUAGGUAGCGCCUCGUGAAUUCAUCUCCGGGGGUAGAGCACUGUUUCGGCUAGGGGGCCAUCCCGGCUUACCAACCCGAUGCAAACUGCGAAUACCGGAGAAUGUUAUCACGGGAGACACACGGCGGGUGCUAACGUCCGUCGUGAAGAGGGAAACAACCCAGACCGCCAGCUAAGGUCCCAAAGUCAUGGUUAAGUGGGAAACGAUGUGGGAAGGCCCAGACAGCCAGGAUGUUGGCUUAGAAGCAGCCAUCAUUUAAAGAAAGCGUAAUAGCUCACUGGUCGAGUCGGCCUGCGCGGAAGAUGUAACGGGGCUAAACCAUGCACCGAAGCUGCGGCAGCGACGCUGAUGCGUUGUUGGGUAGGGGAGCGUUCUGUAAGCCUGUGAAGGUGGCCUGUGAGGGUUGCUGGAGGUAUCAGAAGUGCGAAUGCUGACAUAAGUAACGAUAAAGCGGGUGAAAAGCCCGCUCGCCGGAAGACCAAGGGUUCCUGUCCAACGUUAAUCGGGGCAGGGUGAGUCGACCCCUAAGGCGAGGCCGAAAGGCGUAGUCGAUGGGAAACGGGUUAAUAUUCCCGUACUUGGUGUUACUGCGAAGGGGGGACGGAGAAGGCUAUGUUGGCCGGGCGACGGUUGUCCCGGUUUAAGCGUGUAGGUGUGUGUUCCAGGUAAAUCCGGUUCACUUUAACACUGAGGCGUGACGACGAGGCACUACGGUGCUGAAGCAACAAAUGCCCUGCUUCCAGGAAAAGCCUCUAAGCAUCAGGUAACAUCAAAUCGUACCCCAAACCGACACAGGUGGUCAGGUAGAGAAUACCAAGGCGCUUGAGAGAACUCGGGUGAAGGAACUAGGCAAAAUGGUGCCGUAACUUCGGGAGAAGGCACGCUGACACGUAGGUGAAGUGAUUUACUCACGGAGCUGAAGUCAGUCGAAGAUACCAGCUGGCUGCAACUGUUUAUUAAAAACACAGCACUGUGCAAACACGAAAGUGGACGUAUACGGUGUGACGCCUGCCCGGUGCCGGAAGGUUAAUUGAUGGGGUCAGCGCAAGCGAAGCUCCUGAUCGAAGCCCCGGUAAACGGCGGCCGUAACUAUAACGGUCCUAAGGUAGCGAAAUUCCUUGUCGGGUAAGUUCCGACCUGCACGAAUGGCGUAAUGAUGGCCAGGCUGUCUCCACCCGAGACUCAGUGAAAUUGAACUCGCUGUGAAGAUGCAGUGUACCCGCGGCAAGACGGAAAGACCCCGUGAACCUUUACUAUAGCUUGACACUGAACAUUGAGCCUUGAUGUGUAGGAUAGGUGGGAGGCUUUGAAGCGUGGACGCCAGUCUGCGUGGAGCCGACCUUGAAAUACCACCCUUUAAUGUUUGAUGUUCUAACGUGGACCCGUAAUCCGGGUUGCGGACAGUGUCUGGUGGGUAGUUUGACUGGGGCGGUCUCCUCCUAAAGAGUAACGGAGGAGCACGAAGGUUGGCUAAUCCUGGUCGGACAUCAGGAGGUUAGUGCAAUGGCAUAAGCCAGCUUGACUGCGAGCGUGACGGCGCGAGCAGGUGCGAAAGCAGGUCAUAGUGAUCCGGUGGUUCUGAAUGGAAGGGCCAUCGCUCAACGGAUAAAAGGUACUCCGGGGAUAACAGGCUGAUACCGCCCAAGAGUUCAUAUCGACGGCGGUGUUUGGCACCUCGAUGUCGGCUCAUCACAUCCUGGGGCUGAAGUAGGUCCCAAGGGUAUGGCUGUUCGCCAUUUAAAGUGGUACGCGAGCUGGGUUUAGAACGUCGUGAGACAGUUCGGUCCCUAUCUGCCGUGGGCGCUGGAGAACUGAGGGGGGCUGCUCCUAGUACGAGAGGACCGGAGUGGACGCAUCACUGGUGUUCGGGUUGUCAUGCCAAUGGCACUGCCCGGUAGCUAAAUGCGGAAGAGAUAAGUGCUGAAAGCAUCUAAGCACGAAACUUGCCCCGAGAUGAGUUCUCCCUGAGACUUAAAGUCUCCUGAAGGAACGUUGAAGACGACGACGUUGAUAGGCCGGGUGUGUAAGCGCAGCGAUGCGUUGAGCUAACCGGUACUAAUGAACCGUGAGGCUUAACCUUACAACGCCGAAG